CUUUACACUGCCCACCAGACCCAGGCUGCCGCGACUCUCUGAAUGGUGGCGGACUUACUGGAAACUUAGGAGGCAGCAAACAGCCUAGUGGAAAAUCUUCAAGCCGGGGCACAUAGGGAAUGGAGAAGCCAGGAGAGACUGUGCCAGCCAGGAGGAUGUCAAGAUGUCAGCCUGAACUCAGAAGACAAUGUAGACUUUAGGAAGAGGACUGCUCAGAACAGAAGUCAUG
rnacentral:lncRNA from 1 species